rnacentral:rRNA from 1 species
CAAGCUACUAAGGGCGCACGGUGGAUGCCUAGGAGCAAGGAGCCGAUGAAGGGCGUGGCAAGCUGCGAUAAGCCACGGGGAGCCGCAAGCAGGCGUUGAUCCGUGGAUUCCCGAAUGGGGAAACCCGGCCACCGCAAGGGUGGUCACCCACCGCUGAACCCAUAGGCGGUGUGGAGGGAACCUGGGGAACUGAAACAUCUCAGUACCCAGAGGAAAAGAAACCGAAUGGGAUUCCCUCAGUAGUGGCGAGCGAACGGGGAACAGCCUAAACCAAUCGGGCGUGCCCGAUUGGGGUCGUGGGACCGACACAAGGGAGCGUCUUCCGCUUAGCAGAAGCUGCCUGGAACGGCACGCCAUAGAGGGUGAGAGCCCCGUAUGCGAAAAGUGGAGCGCCCCGUCGGGAUCCCGAGUAGCACGGGAUAAGUGGAACCCUGUGCGAAUCUGCCCGGACCACCGGGUAAGGCUAAAUACUCCUUGCUACCGAUAGCGCAACCAGUACCGUGAGGGAAAGGUGAAAAGCACCCCGGCGAGGGGAGUGAAAGAGAACCUGAAACCGUGCGCUUACAAGCAGUCGGAGGGCUAUGCCCCGCAAGGGGAACAGCCUGACGGCGUGCCUUUUGCAGAAUGAGCCGGCGAGUUACGCUUUGUGGCAAGGUUAAGCGCCUCAGGCGCGGAGCCGCAGCGAAAGCGAGUCCUCACAGGGCGACUCAGUCACAAGGCGUAGACCCGAAACCGCGCGAUCUACCCCUGGUCAGGCUGAAGCCGUGGUAACACACGGUGGAGGGCCGAACCGGUGUCCGUUGAAAAGGGCUCGGAGGAACUGGGGGUAGUGUGGUGAAAUGCCAAUCGAGCGCGGAGAUAGCUGGUUCUCCCCGAAAUGCAUUGAGGUGCAGCGUCACGGGCUAUGCUAUGCAGGUAGAGCCACUGGAUGGGCUAGGGGCCCCACCAGGUUACCGAACCCAACCAAACUCCGAAUGGCAUAGCAGGAACCGUGGCAGUGAGACAGCGACGGAUGAGCGCCGUUGUCAAAAGGGAAACAGCCCAGACCGCCCGCUAAGGUCCCUAAGCACAGGCUAAGUGUGAAAGGAUGUAGGCUCGCGUAGACAACCAGGAGGUUGGCUUAGAAGCAGCCAUCCUUUAAACAGUGCGUAACAGCUGACUGGUCGAAUGUGAGCCUGCGCCGACAAUGUAAGGGGGCUUAAGCCUGUCACCGAAGCGGCGGGUUCCCAGCAAUGGGAGCGGUAGGGGAGCGUUCUGCACGCAGUGAAGGUGGAGCGUGAGCACCGCUGGAGCGUGCAGAAGUGAGAAUGCCGGCACGAGUAGCGAGAAGACGGGUGAGAAUCCCGUCCGCCGAAAGCCUAAGGGUUCUUCAGGCAGGUUCGUCCGCUGAAGGUUAGGCGGUCCUAAGCCGAGGGCGAAACGCCGUAGGCGAAGGGCAGUGGGUCAACAUUCCCACCCCAGGGCGUGGAGCGAGAACGGGGACGCUUGAGAAUCGGUCGGGCGCAGGGUUGUAAGGCUGCGCGCGCCCCAGCGGCAACUCUGGGGCGCCGAAGGGAUCCCUCGUGGUGAACGAAGCGACCGUGACUCAAGCCGAGAAAAGCCGUUCCGCGUUGAAACGUCCUGACCGUACCGCAAACCGACACAGGUAGGCGAGGCGAGGAGCCUCAGGCGCGCGAGAGAAGUCCCGCUAAGGAACUCGGCAAAUUGACCCCGUAACUUCGGGAGAAGGGGUGCCUCCGCAAGGAGGUCGCAGCAAAGAGGGCCCGGCGACUGUUUACCAAAAACACAGCUCUCUGCGAAGGGGUAACCCGACGUAUAGGGGGCGACGCUUGGCCAAUGCCCGUAGGUUAAGGGGAGGGGUCAGCCGCAAGGUGCAGCCCCAAACUGAAGCCCGGGUGAAUGCCGGCCGUAACUCUAACGGUUC